AUCAUCCACAUCAGCAAGAAGCACCGCACGUGGUUCUUCUCGGCCUCCUCCGAGGAGGAGCGCAAGGUGACUGGGGGUCCAAGGACGAGUGCAAGAGCUGGAUGGCCUUGCUGCGCAGGGAGAUUGGCCACUUCCACGAAAAGAAAGACCUGCCCUUGGACACCAGCGACUCCAGCUCGGACACAGACAGCUUCUACGGCGCAGUUGAGCGGCCUGUGGAUAUCAGCCUUUCCCCGUACCCCACGGACAAUGAAGACUAUGAGCACGACGAUGAGGAUGACUCCUACCUGGAGCCCGACUCCCCGGAGCCCGGAAGGCUUGAGGAUGCCCUGAUGCACCCACCGGCUUACCCACCACCCCCAGUGCCCACGCCCAGGAAGCCAGCCUUCUCUGACAUGCCCCGGGCCCACUCCUUUACCUCCAAGGGCCCCGGUCCCCUACUGCCACCCCCGCCCCCUAAGCACGGCCUCCCAGAUGUUGGCCUGGCUGCUGAGGACUCCAAGAGGGACACACUGUGCCCGAGGCGGGCUGAGCCUUGCCCCAGGGUACCUGCUACCCCCCGAAGG
rnacentral:sRNA from 1 species